GACGAACCGUACGAACGUUAUUCGGAAUCACUGGGCUUAAAGGGUGCGUAGGCUGUGCAGAAAGUUGGGUGUGAAAUCCCUCGGCUUAACCGAGGAACUGCGCCCAAAACUACUGUGCUGGAGGGAGACAGAGGUGAGCGGAACUUAGGGUGGAGCGGUGAAAUGCGUUGAUAUCCUAAGGAACACCGGUGGCGAAAGCGGCUCACUGGGUCUCUUCUGACGCUGAGGCACGAAAGCUAGGGUAGCGAACGGG
rnacentral:rRNA from 1 species